GAUGUGGGGGUUGUUUGCAGGCUUUUUCAAUAAGGUCGGCUCCCCUGAAAUGCAUUAGUGGUAUCUGAGGCUAUUACUAAUAGGUGUGAUAAUAUAUCUAUGCCCUUUGGUAUGCUGCAUAAACAGAUUGCACUGCUUCUAACAAAGAAAAUCUUGAUGAAUUUGACCUCAAAUCAGGUAGGACUACCCGCUGAACUUAA
rnacentral:misc_RNA from 1 species